CGGCUACAUCACGUUGAAACAUAGGUUCCUGUAUGAUCACUGAAGUUAAGCAACGUCGAGCCUAGUCAGUACCCAGAUGGGUGACCGCUUGGGAAUACUAGGUACUGUAAG